rnacentral:rRNA from 1 species
AAGAAAGUAAGCAAGGGCGCAUGGCGGAUGCCUUGGCUCUCGGAGGCGAUGAAGGACGUGAUAAGCUGCGAUAAGCUUCGGGCAGGUGCAAAUAACCUUUGAUCCGAAGAUUUCCGAAUGGGACAACCCGUCAUUCUGAAGGAAUGACAUCUUGCAUAGCAAGAGGCUAACACAGGGAACUGAAACAUCUUAGUACCUGUAGGAAAAGAAAAUAAUAAUGAUUCCCCUAGUAGUGGCGAGCGAACGGGGAUUAGCCCAAACCAAUGUUGUUACGGCAAUAUUGGGGUUGUAGGACCACGCUCUCGCAAGAAGUUUAGUGAGAAGAACCCUUUGGAAAAUGGGACCAUAGACGGUGAUAGUCCGGUAUUCGAAGCUAAAUGAAGCGUAGUGGUAUCCUGAGUAGCGCGGGACACGAGGAAUCUUGCGUGAAUCUGCCGGGACCAUCCGGUAAGGCUAAAUACUCCCGAGAGACCGAUAGCGAACCAGUACUGUGAAGGAAAGGUGAAAAGCACUUCGAAUAGAAGAGUGAAAUAGUCCCUGAAACCGUGCGCCUACAAGCGGUCGGAGCUGCUUCAGCAGUGACGGCGUGCCUUUUGCAUAAUGAACCUACGAGUUACUUUUUCCGGCAAGGUUAAGGAUCUUGAGAUCCGCAGCCGAAGCGAAAGCGAGUCUUAACAGGGCGAUUAGUCGGAAGGAGUAGACGCGAAACCAAGUGAUCUACCCUUGGUCAGGUUGAAGGUUAGGUAACACUAACUGGAGGACCGAACCGAUAAGCGUUGAAAAGCUUCCGGAUGAACUGAGGGUGGGGGUGAAAGGCUAAUCAAACUUGGAGAUAGCUCGUACUCCCCGAAAUGCAUUUAGGUGCAGCCUUGGGAAUUACUACUGUGAGGUAGAGCGACUGAUAAGAUGCGAGGGCUUCACCGCCUAUCAAGUCUUGAUAAACUCCGAAUGCGCAGUAGUUCGAUCCCAGGAGUGAGGGCAUGGGUGCUAAGGUCCAUGUCCUAAAGGAGAAGAAUCCAGACCAUCAGCUAAGGUCCCGAAAUAAUUGCUAAGUUGAACUAACGAAGUCAGAUUGCUAAGACAGCUAGGAUGUUGGCUUGGAAGCAGCCAUUCAUUUAAAGAGUGCGUAACAGCUCACUAGUCGAGGAGUUUGGCGUGGAUAAUAAUCGGGCAUUAAGCAAUUUACCGAAGCUAUGGGAUGUUAACUAAACACUAACAUCGGUAGGGGAGCAUUCCACUCUGCGUCGAAGGUGAAGCGUGAGCUUUGCUGGAGCGUGUGGAAAAGCAAAUGUAGGUAUAAGUAACGAUAAAGGGGGUGAGAAACCCCCUCGCCGAAAGACUAAGGUUUCCUGAUCAACGCUAAUCGGAUCAGGGUUAGUCGGGUCCUAAGGCUCAGCCGAACGGUGAGGCCGAUGGCAGAACAGGUUAAUAUUCCUGUACUACCUUAAGGAGUGACGUGGAGACGGAGGAGUGACAGCGCCGCGGACUGACGGAAUAGUCCGUUGAAGGGUGUAGAUGUUGAUUAUCCCAGGCAAAUCCAGGAUAAGAGUCGAACCUGAUAGUAUACCAAAUUCUUCGGAAUAAGGUAAUAGUGCGUGUAAGCAUACUCCCAAGAAAAUCCGCUAAACUUAAUCUUUAAGGUACCCGUACCGCAAACGGACACACGUAGUCGGGUUGAAUAUACUAAGGCGCUUGAGUGAUUCACGGUUAAGGAACUAGGCAAAUUGACCCUGUAACUUCGGGAUAAAGGGUCCCAACGAGAGUUGGGCGCAGAGAAUAGGUCCAGGCAACUGUUUAACAAAAACACAGGGCUGUGCAAAAUUGAAAGAUUACGUAUACAGCCUGACACCUGCCCGGUGCUGGAAGGUUAAGAGGAGAUGUCAUCGCAAGAGAAGCAUUGAAUUGAAGCCCCAGUAAACGGCGGCCGUAACUAUAACGGUCCUAAGGUAGCGAAAUUCCUUGUCGGGUAAGUUCCGACCUGCACGAAUGGUGUAAUGAUCUGGACACUGUCUCAACCGUGAGCUCAGUGAAAUUGUAGUAUCGGUGAAGAUGCCGAUUACCCGCGAUGGGACGAAAAGACCCCGUGAACCUUUACUAUAGCUUAACAUUGAAUUUGGGUAAUUGAUGUGUAGGAUAGGCCGGAGACUUUGAAUCAGGUACGCCAGUAUUUGUGGAGUCGCUGUUGAAAUACGGCCCUUUGAUUAUUUGAGUUCUAACUCGUAGAUGCGAGGACACUGUUUGGUGGGUAGUUUGACUGGGGUGGUCGCCUCCAAAAGUGUAACGGAGGCUUCUAAAGGUGCCCUCAGGACGAUUGGUAACCGUCCGUAGAGUGUAAUGGCAUAAGGGCGCUUGACUGGGAGACAGACAAGUCGAUCAGGUAGGAAACUAGAGCAUAGUGAUCCGGUGUUUCCGUAUGGAAGGGACAUCGCUCAAAGGAUAAAAGGUACUCCGGGGAUAACAGGCUGAUCCCUCCCAAGAGCUCAUAUCGACGGAGGGGUUUGGCACCUCGAUGUCGGCUCGUCACAUCCUGGGGCUGGAGAAGGUCCCAAGGGUUGGGCUGUUCGCCCAUUAAAGUGGCACGCGAGCUGGGUUCAGAACGUCGUGAGACAGUUCGGUCUCUAUCUAUCGUGGGCGUAUGAAAUUUGCGUGGCUCUGACACUAGUACGAGAGGACCGUGUUGGACUGACCGCUGGUUUACCAGUUGUGCCGCCAGGUGCAUUGCUGGGUAUCUAAGUCGGGAUUGGAUAAGUGCUGAAAGCAUCUAAGUACGAAGCCAGCCACAAGAUUAGAUUUCUUAGGGUCGUCAAAGACGAUGACGUUGAUAGGAUGCAGGUGUAAAGGUGGUAACAUCAAAGCCGAGCAUUACUAAUUGCCCGUUCACUUUCUUUC